rnacentral:rRNA from 1 species
UACGGGGGGGGCAAGCGUUGUUCGGAAUUACUGGGCGUAAAGGGCUCGUAGGCGGCCAACUAAGUCAGACGUGAAAUCCCUCGGCUUAACCGGGGAACUGCGUCUGAUACUGGAUGGCUAGAGGUUGGGAGAGGGAUGCGGAAUUCCAGGUGUAGCGGUGAAAUGCGUAGAUAUCUGGAGGAACACCGGUGGCGAAGGCGGCAUCCUGGACAAAUUAUGACGCGGAGGAGCGAAAGCCAGGGGAGCAAACGGG